rnacentral:rRNA from 1 species
CAGGUCAGCAUACUGCCGUGAAUACGUUCCCGGGCCUUGUACACACCGCCCGUCACACCAUGAGAGUUGGGAAUACCCGAAGCCUGUGAGCUAACAUUAAGAGGCAGCAGUCGAAGGUAGAAUCAAUGAUUGGGGUGAAGUCGUAACAAGGUACC